UGCUACUUUGCCGGCGAGCGGCGGACGGGUGAGUAAUGUCUGGGAAACUGCCUGAUGGAGGGGGAUAACUACUGGAAACGGUAGCUAAUACCGCAUAACGUCGCAAGACCAAAGAGGGGGACCUUCGGGCCUCUUGCCAUCAGAUGUGCCCAGAUGGGAUUAGCUAGUAGGUGGGGUAACGGCUCACCUAGGCGACGAUCCCUAGCUGGUCUGAGAGGAUGACCAGCCACACUGGAACUGAGACACGGUCCAGACUCCUACGGGAGGCAGCAGUGGGGAAUAUUGCACAAUGGGCGCAAGCCUGAUGCAGCCAUGCCGCGUGUAUGAAGAAGGCCUUCGGGUUGUAAAGUACUUUCAGCGGGGAGGAAGGUGCUGAGGUUAAUAACCUCAGCAAUUGACGUUACCCGCAGAAGAAGCACCGGCUAACUCCGUGCCAGCAGCCGCGGUAAUACGGAGGGUGCAAGCGUUAAUCGGAAUUACUGGGCGUAAAGCGCACGCAGGCGGUCUGUCAAGUCGGAUGUGAAAUCCCCGGGCUCAACCUGGGAACUGCAUUCGAAACUGGCAGGCUAGAGUCUUGUAGAGGGGGGUAGAAUUCCAGGUGUAGCGGUGAAAUGCGUAGAGAUCU
rnacentral:rRNA from 1 species